ACGAACGCUGGCGGCGUGCUUAACACAUGCAAGUCGAACGGAAAGGCCCUGCUUGCAGGGUACUCGAGUGGCGAACGGGUGAGUAACACGUGGGUGAUCUGCCCUGCACUUCGGGAUAAGCCUGGGAAACUGGGUCUAAUACCGGAUAGGAGCCAUUUUUAGUGUGAUGGUUGGAAAGUUUUUUCGGUGUAGGAUGAGCUCGCGGCCUAUCAGCUUGUUGGUGGGGUAAUGGCCUACCAAGGCGGCGACGGGUAGCCGGCCUGAGAGGGGGGACGGCCACAUUGGGACUGAGAUACGGCCCAGACUCCUACGGGAGGCAGCAGUGGGGAAUAUUGCACAAUGGGCGCAAGCCUGAUGCAGCGACGCCGCGUGGGGGAUGACGGCCUUCGGGUUGUAAACUCCUUUCGCUAGGGACGAAGCUUUGUGUGACGGUACCUAGAUAAGAAGCACCGGCUAACUACGUG
rnacentral:rRNA from 1 species